GUGAGGAAUAUUGCGCAAUGGAGGCAACUCUGACGCAGCCAUGCCGCGUGCAGGAAGAAGGCGCUACGCGUUGUAAACUGCUUUUAACCGGGAAGAAACCCCAGGACGUGUCCUGGGUUGACGGUACCGGAGGAAUAAGCACCGGCUAACUUCGUGCCAGCAGCCGCGGUAAUACGAAGGGUGCAAGCGUUAUCCGGAUUCAUUGGGUUUAAAGGGUGCGUAGGCGGAGCGUUAAGUAAGUGGUGAAAUCCUGCAGCUUAACUGUAGACUUGCCAUUGAUACUGGCGCUCUUGAGUGCGCUUGAAGUGGGCGGAAUGUGCCGUGUAGCGGUGAAAUGCUUAGAUAUGGCACAGAACACCAAUUGCGAAGGCAGCUCACUAAGGCGAUACUGACGCUGAGGCACGAAAGCGUGGGGAUCGAACAGGAUUAGAAACCCGGGUAGUCC
rnacentral:rRNA from 1 species